rnacentral:rRNA from 1 species
AUUGAACGCUGGCGGCAUGCUUUACACAUGCAAGUCGAACGGUAACAGGCCGCAAGGUGCUGACGAGUGGCGAACGGGUGAGUAAUGCAUCGGAACGUGCCCAGUCGUGGGGGAUAACGCAGCGAAAGCUGCGCUAAUACCGCAUACGAUCUCUGGAUGAAAGCGGGGGACCGAAAGGCCUCGCGCGAUUGGAGCGGCCGAUGUCAGAUUAGGUAGUUGGUGGGGUAAAGGCCCACCAAGCCAACGAUCUGUAGCUGGUCUGAGAGGACGACCGGCCACACUGGGACUGAGACACGGCCCAGACUCCUACGGGAGGCAGCAGUGGGGAAUUUUGGACAAUGGGCGCAAGCCUGAUCCAGCAAUGCCGCGUGCAGGAAGAAGGCAUUCGGGUUGUAAACUGCUUUUGUACGGAACGAAACGGUCCGGGUUAAUACCCUGGGCUAAUGACGGUACCGUAAGAAUAAGCACCGGCUAACUACGUGCCAGCAGCCGCAGUAAAAC